rnacentral:rRNA from 3 species
CGUGGUGACAAUGCUGAUGAGGCAACACUCCUUCCCAUUCCGAACAGGAUAGUUAAGCUCAUCAAGGCCGAUGGUACUUGCAAUCGCAGGGAGAGUAGGUAGUUGCCACGG